AGAGUUUGAUCCUGGCUCAGGAUGAACGCUGGCGGCGUGCUUAAUGCAUGCAAGUCGAACGAGGGUCCUUUGAUUGGUAACUUUCGAAGGACACCUAGUGGCGAACGGGUGAGUAACACGUGAGCAACCUGCCCCGAAGACCGGGAUAGCCCAUGGAAACGUGGAUUAAUACCGGAUACCCUCGAGGGACCAUAUGGCCCCACGAGGAAAGGCUCCGGCGCUUCGGGAUGGACUCGCGGCCUAUCAGCUUGUUGGUGAGGUAACGGCUCACCAAGGCUCUGACGGGUAGCUGGUCUGAGAGGACGAUCAGCCACACUGGGACUGAGACACGGCCCAGACUCCUACGGGAGGCAGCAGCAGGGAAUAUUGCACAAUGGGCGCAAGCCUGAUGCAGCGACGCCGCGUGAGGGAUGAAGGCUUUCGAGUUGUAAACCUCUUUCAGUGGGGAAGAAGCGCAAGUGACGGUACCCACACAAGAAGGCCCGGCCAACUACGUGCCAGCAGCCGCGGUAAUACGUAGGGGCCAAGCGUUAUCCGGAUUUAUUGGGCGUAAAGAGCUCGUAGGCGGCUUGGCAAGUCGGUCGUGAAAGUCCGAGGCUCAACCUCGGAAUGCCGGUCGAAACUGCCAUGGCUAGGGUUCGGUAGAGGAGAGUGGAAUUCUCGGUGUAGCGGUGAAAUGCGCAGAUAUCGAGAGGAACACCAGUAGCGAAGGCGGCUCUCUGGGCCGAUACCGACGCUGAGGAGCGA
rnacentral:rRNA from 1 species